ACGUAGGGUGCGAGCGUUAAUCGGAAUUACUGGGCGUAAAGCGUGCGCAGGCGGUUUUGUAAGCCAGAUGUGAAAGCCCCGGGCUCAACCUGGGAACUGCAUUUGAUACUGGCGGGCUUGAGUUCCGGAGAGGAUUGUGGAAUUCCCAGUGUAGAGGUGAAAUUCGUAGAUAUUGGGAAGAACACCGGUGGCGAAGGCGGCCAUCUGGACGGACACUGACGCUGAGGCGCGGAAGCGUGGGGAGCAAACAGGA
rnacentral:rRNA from 1 species